GAAGCCGAUACGAAGCCGGCCAUCGCUGCUUUGAAAGCCAUCAAUACCGGACGAGAGCUGGCCAACAUCACUAAAGGAGUGAGGAGCUGCCAGAUGAUAAGCCCGCAUACUCGGGACAUGUAAACCGGAAAAACCUCCGGACGGCAAGAAGUUUUAUCAACCUUCUCUCUCUAAAAGAUUUUUCGGAGAGAAGAGAGAGAAGUUUUUU